UACGGAGGAUCCGAGCGUUAUCCGGAUUUAUUGGGUUUAAAGGGAGCGUAGGUGGAUUGUUAAGUCAGUUGUGAAAGUUUGCGGCUCAACCGUAAAAUUGCAGUUGAAACUGCCAGGCUAGAGUGUCGGAGAGGUAAGUGGAAUUCCUAGUGUAGCGGUGAAAUGCGUAGAUAUUAGGAGGAACACCAGUGGCGAAGGCGGCUUACUGGACGAUGACUGACGCUGAGGCUCGAAAGCGUGGGGAGCAAACAGG
rnacentral:rRNA from 1 species